AUUGAACGCUGGCGGCAGGCCUAACACAUGCAAGUCGAACGGUAACAGGAAGCAGCUUGCUGCUUUGCUGACGCGUGGCGGACGGGUGAGUAAUGUCUGGGAAACUGCCUGUUUGAGGGGGAUAACUACUGGAAACGGUAGCUAAUACCGCAUAACGUCGCAAGACCAAAGAGGGGGACCUUUUGGCCCCUUGCCAUCUGAUGUGGCCAGAUGGGAUUAGCUAGUAGGUGGGGUAAAGGCUCACCUAGGCGACGAUCCCUAGCUGGUCUGAGAGGAUGACCAGCCACACUGGAACUGAGACACGGUCCAGACUCCUACGGGAGGCAGCAGUGGGGAAUAUUGCACAAUGGGCGCAAGCCUGAUGCAGCCAUGCCGCGUGUAUGAAGAAGGCCUUCGGGUUGUAAAGUACUUUCAGCGGGGAGGAAGGGAGUAAAGUUAAUACCUUUGCUCAUUGACGUUACCCGCAGAAGAAGCACCGGCUAACUCCGUG
rnacentral:rRNA from 1 species